rnacentral:rRNA from 1 species
AUUGAACGCUGGCGGCAUGCUUUACACAUGCAAGUCGAACGGUAACAGGGAGCUUGCUCCGCUGACGAGUGGCGAACGGGUGAGUAAUGCGUCGGAACGUGCCGAGUAGUGGGGGAUAACGCAGCGAAAGUUGUGCUAAUACCGCAUACGUACUGAGGUAGAAAGUGGGGGACCUUCGGGCCUCACGCUACUCGAGCGGCCGACGUCUGAUUAGCUAGUAGGUGAGGUAAAGGCUCACCUAGGCGACGAUCAGUAGCGGGUCUGAGAGGAUGAUCCGCCACACUGGGACUGAGACACGGCCCAGACUCCUACGGGAGGCAGCAGUGGGGAAUUUUGGACAAUGGGCGAAAGCCUGAUCCAGCAAUGCCGCGUGCAGGAAGAAGGCCUUCGGGUUGUAAACUGCUUUUGUACGGAGCGAAAAGGUCUCCUCUAAUACAGGGGGCUCAUGACGGUACCGUAAGAAUAAGCACCGGCUAACUACGUGCCAGCCGCCGCAGUAA